GAUUAACGCUGGCGGCGUGCAUAACACAUGCAAGUCGAACGAUGAAACUUUAAUGAACCCUUCGGGGAGAAUUAAAGCGGAUUAGUGGCGAACGGGUGAGUAACGCGUGAGUAACCUGCCUUACACAAGGGGAUAGCCUUUGGAAACGGAGAAUAAUACCCUAUAAAACCAUAAAAGCACAUGCAAUUAUGGUCAAAGUGAUAGCGGUGUAAGAUGGACUUGCGUCUGAUUAGCUAGUUGGUGAGAUAAAAGCCCACCAAGGCAACGAUCAGUAGCCGGCUUGAGAGAGUGUACGGCCACAUUGGGACUGAGACACGGCCCAGACUCCUACGGGAGGCAGCAGUGGGGAAUUUUGCACAAUGGGGGAAACCCUGAUGCAGCGACGCCGCGUGAUUUAGAAGGCCUUCGGGUUGUAAAAAUCUUUUGUAUAGGAAGAAAAUGACAGUACUAUACGAAUAAGGUCCGGCUAAUUACGUG
rnacentral:rRNA from 1 species